ACAGGUAGAGUUGAUUUCUUAACAUAUCGAUGAUCAAAGUGAUUAAUAUAACAUGUAUAAACAGUUUUAUGUGUAUUUUUGUGUGUGUAGUUGAUGUAAAAGUUGUAGUAUUUUGAGAAAGUGAAUCCAGUCAGACUGUGAUGACAGCGAGUGUUCAGGUGUGUUCAGGAAGAGUUUAAAGACGAAUAUUUGAUGAAUAACUCAGAUUUUUAAUGACAUCUUUCAUGUUUCUUGCUAUAAGUUCAGUCUUUUACAUUGUUGUUCAGUAUCAGUUGUGGAGAUCAGAUUGAUCAGAUUCAUCUCUGCAGCUUCAUCAUGGAUCAAACACAAACAUCUCCAGGAUGCAGUUCAGAUCAUCAGAAGAGAUCAGAUUCAGAGUUCAGUUGUGUGUCUAUGAAGAGUGAUCGGUCUAUGAAUCAUCCAAUAGAGUUUAAGAGUGAAGAAACACAGCCUGCACACAG